UAGGGAAUCUUCCACAAUGGACGCAAGUCUGAUGGAGCAACGCCGCGUGAGUGAAGAAGGUUUUCGGACCGUAAAGCUCUGUUGUUGGUGAAGAAGGAUAGAGGUAGUAACUGGCCUUUAUUUGACGGUAAUCAACCAGAAAGUCACGGCUAACUACGUGCCAGCAGCCGCGGUAAUACGUAGGUGGCAAGCGUUGUCCGGAUUUAUUGGGCGUAAAGCGAGCGCAGGCGGAAGAAUAAGUCUGAUGUGAAAGCCCUCGGCUUAACCGAGGAAUUGCAUCGGAAACUGUUUUCUUGAGUGCAGAAGAGGAGAGUAGAACUCCAUGUGUAGCGGUGGAAUGCGUAGAUAUAUGGAAGAAUACCAGUGGCGAAGGCGGCUCUCUGGUCUGCAACUGACGCUGAGGCUCGAAAGCAUGGGUAGCGAACAGGAUUAGAUACCCUGGUAGUCCACGCCGUAAACGAUGAGUGCUAAGUGUUGGGAGGCUUCCGCCUCUCAGUGCUGCAGCUAACGCAUUAAGCACUCCGCCUGGGGGAGUACGACCGCAAGGUUGAAAC
rnacentral:rRNA from 1 species